GAGAUUUCUCUCUCUCUGCUUUUUCUCUCUAAUUUCUCUCUCUAGCUUUCUCUCUCUAAAACUUUGGCGGAUCAUAACUUUUGAUCCGUAACUCCGAUUCAGGAUCCGCGAAGGGCUAUGGAUUCGUCUUGAUGUCCUCUUUCUAUCCAUAGAUGUUUGAGUUAGAUCCAACCGUAAUUUCUAGAUGGCUCGUUUUAGGAGGCUAGGUUAACGAUCGGUAUUCUAGGAGGCGAUUCGUAUUAUCGAGAGAAGUACUUAGAUUUUGAUGAGCCAAAGUGGGUUGGACGAGCCUAGAAUGAAGAGUCUAGAAGGAAGAGCUUAUUUACAUUCUGCUUUAUAACACUCACACCUCAAAUUCGGGGUCAGGUGCUUAAAAUCCACCGACGUUGGGUCCGGCGUGUGACAACUAGCGACUUAUUCUUCUUGACAGAGCUUCUUGAUGGAGUCAACUCACUCCUUUUGAUGAAGCAUCAGCUCCUCCUCUUGACGGGGCGCCGCCGCCAGCGGAGCAUAAGCGUGCCUAUCAAUCUCCAUCAGCCAACUGUCACUCUUGACGGAGCAUCAGCGUCAGUCUUAUUGACGGAGCUUCAAUCCUUUGGACAGAGCAUCAAUUUUCUUAGCGGAGGUUCAAUCUCCCGGUUACCCAGAAAAAUACUAUGGACACCCGUGUUUAAUUCCUUAUUUGAGAACUGAGUUAAGCAUUCAUCUCUAAGAACUGCAGUUUCUUCCUUAUCUGCAAAUAAAUCAUGCUCCUCUCGGGUACUCACCAAAAAUAGAAGACGGAUCUUGACCCAGCUGCAACUAGCCUUGGCACCCAUCCAGGUAUUCGUACUUGAAAUAUUGGAGAGCUUUUCAAAGCUUUUCAGCUAAGCUGACAACGAGGGAAAAUUCUAUAAUACAUACCCAUAUGUUAUACACACAUUUAUGAAUGUGACAACAAAUUUGUGUCAAA